rnacentral:rRNA from 1 species
GUGCCAGCCGCCGCGGUAACACGUAGGGGGCAAGCGUUGUCCGGAAUUAUUGGGCGUAAAGAGCUCGUAGGCGGCUUGGCAAGUCGGAUGUGAAAGCUCCAGGCUCAACCUGGAGAGGCCAUCCGAUACUGCUAUGGCUAGAGUCCGGUAGGGGAGCGUGGAAUUCCCGGUGUAGCGGUGAAAUGCGCAGAUAUCGGGAGGAACACCAGCGGCGAAGGCGGCGCUCUGGGCCGGAACUGACGCUGAGGAGCGAAAGCAUGGGUAGCAAACAGGAUUAGAAACCCCCGUAGUCC